rnacentral:rRNA from 1 species
GAUUAAGUUAUUAAGGGCGCACGGUGGAUGCCUUGGCACUAGAAGCCGAUGAAGGACGUUACUAACGACGAUAUGCUUUGGGUAGCUGUAAGUAAGCGUUGAUCCAGAGAUUUCCGAAUGGGGGAACCCAGCAUGAGUUAUGUCAUGUUAUCGACAUGUGAAUUCAUAGCAUGUCAGAAGGCAGACCCGGAGAACUGAAACAUCUUAGUACCCGGAGGAAGAGAAAGAAAAAUCGAUUCCCUGAGUAGCGGCGAGCGAAACGGGAAGAGCCCAAACCAACAAGCUUGCUUGUUGGGGUUGUAGGACACUCUAUACGGAGUUACAAAAGAACAUGUUAGACGAAUCAUCUGGAAAGAUGAAUCAAAGAAGGUAAUAAUCCUGUAGUCGA